rnacentral:rRNA from 1 species
UACGUACCGUCCAAACGUUAUUCGGAAUUACUGGGCUUAAAGGGUAUGUAGGCGGCGCUGUUAGUCGGGUGUGAAAUCCCAGGGCUCAACCCUGGAACUGCGCCCGAUACUGCAGUGCUUGAGGGAGACAGAGGUAAGCGGAACUGAUGGUGGAGCGGUGAAAUGCGUUGAUAUCAUCAGGAACACCGGUGGCGAAAGCGCUCUGCUGGACUGCAACUGACACUCAGGGACGAAAGCUAGGGGAGCGAAUGGG